rnacentral:lncRNA from 1 species
GUGUGCCUGAUCCUUGCUGUGGGUAGUGUUCUUGGAUGUCUCCCCAAACCCAAAUACUCUCCCACGCAUGCAGAACCUUGGAAUUCCAAAGAAUAUUGGAGCUAGGAGUGAAGGAGAUAGGUAGCAAGAAGACCUCGUUAGCAAAGGGACUUUGUCUGAAUCAGGUAAUCACUCAUUCAUCCAUUUGUUCAUUUGUUCCUUCCCAAAUAUCUGCUGAGUAUCUGCUGUAAGUAAAGGGCUCCUCCCUCUAAAGCGGUUAAAGUCCAGCUUCUGUAGAUAUAAAAUCUAUGCUAGGGAAAGUGGGGAACGCAAGAAGAAUAGGAUAACAUAGUCCAAUCACUUUGAGGGAGGACGAAGAGAAGAAUUAAUAUGAAGUGGAGGUGGUUACGUGAAGGUUUCUCUAGUUGCUAGUUCUUUGAGUUGUUCUGAAAUGUUAGAAAUACGCCUGGCAUUCGUCACCAAGCUGUACGCACACACAUAUCAUAUAGAUUCACUGUUUUUCAGGAAGGACUUAGUUUUGCAGACUCUGGGAAGUCAAAUGCAGCAUCAGAGAAGAUUCCUUGACUGAGAUCUUUGGGGUUGGCCGUAACCUCAUGUCAUUCUGUAAUAAGUGACGCAACUUACUCUGGGUCAAACUGGAAACAUAAAUAUUAGGACAGUUGAAAAAUUUCCACACAUUAUAAGUGCUUUGAGUAUGGGGCACACUUUAUUUCACCCAAUAACUGCAAGUUUAUUUGAAUUUGAAUCAGCUGCCAAGUAAAUAUUUAAAGUUGAAUCGUUGGAGCCAAGGAAGGUCGUAAUCCCUGAAUGAUAAGGUUGCUUUUCUUCUCCUCCCCAUGUCUUGAGAACAUGUAGAUUACUUGGGAAAUAAGAGAGGAAAAACAUAAUUCAAAAAGAAUAAAAUGUUUGUUUAUAGAUUGAAGACUAUGAACUACAUCCCACUUCAUUUGUAAAUGUUAUAAUUUUUACACAGGAAAGAAAACAUUGUAAUUUCGGUCUGUCUGUCUCAAUCUCCCUCUCAGGCCACGAUUGUACCACCAUUGCUUAGAUUGUCGUGACUUCCAGGGGAUCGAAAAGAAUUAGCAAUCAUUUAAUUAUUAAUCACCUGUAAUUGGAACUAAAAACUAUAAAAUGUAAAGGAUGAGAAGCCAGCAGAUUAGCGGAAAGGGAAGGCAGGAGGCCCAGAUAACUGCGUUGGUGUUAACCCUUUAACAAAGCAACUCCUUUGACCCAACUUUCAGCCCUCUCUCUGCGGCCUGGCUCCCCUGCUGUCCUUCCGCAGGGAGGAGGAGAGGAAAAAGGAAAAAACAUAUCUCGUUCAAGGUUUUUACUCAUACCUCUUACAUUUGAGUUCUAAAAACAUUUAUUGAACGCCAGCCAUGUGCAGAGUGCUGUAGAAGAUGAAGAAGAAAUUGGAGAUCGUCACUCUGACUUUGAGGAGCUACCUUCUAAAUUGGAGCUGAAAGCUUGUGAAAGCUGAUAUAAAUGCUUAUGAGACAGCAGAGAAAGGAAGAAUGAAUACUUCAAUACAGGAGGGGUUGGACAGGAUGCUCUCUGUCUCUUCCCACUCGGACAUUCGAAGGGCUGUUGUUCUGCAGCAAAGUUCCCUUGUUUUCUUUUUAUAAGGUUUUCUGCCACCUAUUAAUUUUCUUCAGCCUCCUCUGGUUAGUCUGGUUCUGAUUUGGUUUCCUUUUGUGCAAGAAUGUGGGUCUAAUCAUUAACUCUCAGCCUCCAUGCUUGUUGCCCUCAAAGAGGAACUCCUGUGCAGGUGGGCCACGGUGGGGGAAGAAAUCAAACACCUUUAAAGGCUGCAAAAGAAAAAGUGAAAUGAAUUUGAAUUAAGCUCUUUGAAAAUAAGAGAAUAAUAAAAUGAUCUAUUGUCUGCUUUUCAAAUUAAGGUCUCUACUUAAUAAAUGUACACUGCACUUUACUGAAUACAUAUGACAAAGGAUAAAAUAAAUUUCAAGACUAUGUUUGGCCAGUGAAAGGAAAGAGACU